rnacentral:rRNA from 1 species
GCGCGAAAACUUUACAAUGCGAGCAAUCGUGAUAAGGAAACCCUGAGUGCCUGUCAAUGCAGGCUGUUCUGGUGUCUAACACACACCAGGAGAAAGGGCGGGGCAAGACCGGUGCCAGCCGCCGCGGUAAUACCGGCUGCUCGAGUGAUAGCCACUUUUACUGGGCUUAAAGCGUUCGUAGCUUGGUCGUUAAGUCUCUGGGGAAAUCUUUUGGCUCAACCAAAAGGCGUCUCAGGGAAACUGGCGAUCUUGGAACCGGGAGAGGUAAGACGUACUUCGGGGGUAGGAGUGAAAUCUUGUAAUCCCCGAGGGACGACCGAUGGCGAAGGCAUCUUACCAGAACGGCUUCGACAGUGAGGGACGAAAGCUGGGGGAGCAAACCGGAUUAGAUACCCGGGUAGUCCCAGCCGUAAACGAUGUGCGUUAGGUGUGUCAGUGGCCACGAGUCGCUGAGGUGCCGAAGGGAAACCGUGAAACGCACCGCCUGGGAAGUACGGUCGCAAGGCUGAAACUUGAAGGAAUUGGCGGGGGAGCACCACAACGGGUGGAGCCUGCGGUUUAAUUGGAUUCAACGCCGGACAACUCACCGGAUACGACAGCGGAAUGAUAGCCGGGCUGAAGACUCUGCUUGACUAGCU